GAACGGACGAGAAGCUUGCUUCUCUGAUGUUAGCGGCGGACGGGUGAGUAACACGUGGAUAACCUACCUAUAAGACUGGGAUAACUUCGGGAAACCGGAGCUAAUACCGGAUAAUAUUUUGAACCGCAUGGUUCAAAAGUGAAAGACGGUCUUGCUGUCACUUAUAGAUGGAUCCGCGCUGCAUUAGCUAGUUGGUAAGGUAACGGCUUACCAAGGCAACGAUGCAUAGCCGACCUGAGAGGGUGAUCGGCCACACUGGAACUGAGACACGGUCCAGACUCCUACGGGAGGCAGCAGUAGGGAAUCUUCCGCAAUGGGCGAAAGCCUGACGGAGCAACGCCGCGUGAGUGAUGAAGGUCUUCGGAUCGUAAAACUCUGUUAUUAGGGAAGAACAUAUGUGUAAGUAACUGUGCACAUCUUGACGGUACCUAAUCAGAAAGCCACGGCUAACUACGUGCCAGCAGCCGCGGUAAUACGUAGGUGGCAAGCGUUAUCCGGAAUUAUUGGGCGUAAAGCGCGCGUAGGCGGUUUUUUAAGUCUGAUGUGAAAGCCCACGGCUCAACCGUGGAGGGUCAUUGGAAACUGGAAAACUUGAGUGCAGAAGAGGAAAAGUGGAAUUCCAUGUGUAGCGGUGAAAUGCGCAGAGAUAUGGAGGAACACCAGUGGCGUAAGGCGACUUUCUGGUCUGUAACUGACGCUGAUGUGCGAAAGCGUGGGGAUGCAAACAGGAUUGAGAUGACCCUGUAGUCCACGCCGUAACGAUGAGUGCUAAGUGUUAG
rnacentral:rRNA from 1 species